GCGGCGUAAGGGAUUCGAGCAAGAAUAGCCGCGGUUUAUUUCUUCAAUUACACAAUGUUUCUUCUGCGGACCUUCUUUGGGAUGAAAAAAAAAGUAGAAAAAGGAAAGCUAAUGUUUCUUCUGAUUAUUUUGCCGUGGAAAGGUUAAUCUCGAGGAGGACAUCACAUGGAACGGUUCAAUAUUUGGUGAAAUGGAAGGGAUACAGCGCGUUUCAUAAUAGUUGGGAAGAUGAAGAUAACUUGACUACCGAUCUUAUUAGAACUUAUGACAAGCCAAUUGUUGAUAAAGAGAGGCUAACUCGAAACGUUGAUAAUCUGAGAUUAUCAGUCCUCUUUAAAUUAAG